rnacentral:rRNA from 1 species
GUAAUCGCAGAUCAGAAUGCUGCGGUGAAUACGUUCCCGGGCCUUGUACACACCGCCCGUCACACCAUGGGAGCCGGUAAUACCCGAAGUCAGUAGUCUAACCGCAAGGGGGACGCUGCCGAAGGUGGGUUCGAUAAUUGGGGUGAAGUCGUAACAAGGUACC